rnacentral:tRNA from 1 species
GGGAGAGAUGGCACAGUGGAGGGCCAUCAGACUGUAAAUCUGACGCGGAAACGCAUGGUGGGUUCGAACCCUACCUCUCCCACCA